CUGCGCUAAAGGGGCGGCUGUCAGGAGCGGGGUGACCCUCGGGAUGAGGGGGGGGGGGUGCCCCCAAAUCCCCUUGCCCAGUUUCCACCCUCUCCCCCCAUCCCACAGCCCAGCCUGGCAGCAGCAGCGGGAUCCUGUACACAACUUUUUCAAACUGCCAGGCAGAAGAAUCCCAGUCUUUCCAAGGGAGUGUCGGUAAAUCAUCAUUACAUCCGACAACGCAACCAGCGGGAUUAACCCUUUACUCGUCCCCGGGAAAAUAAUAACAACAACAACAACUUUAACAAUGAAAAUAGUAAAAGCUGGUCCCAGCCGCGUGAGAAAGAGGACGGGGGCAGGGUGUGUGCUGUCGUGUUUUAGAUACACACGUAUCUAGAUGGAAAGAAGUAUUUGUGCGCGCGUGUGUAUAUGGAACACACGAAGAACAUGCUACCAGGCAGCCGCCUGCCCCCCCGGCCCUGCCUCAGCCCUCCCCCGUGGCUCUCCCACUCUCCGCAGGACCGCGGCGCCGAUCUCCAGUGCAGAUGUGCCUCCCACCCCCCCAAGGAUCUCUCCUCUGGACUUAGAGAGAAGAGGAAAAGGCAGAUUUUGAGAAAUGAAAAUUAUUUAAGGAUGUCCCUGCUGCCUCUCUCUGCUGCCCUCCUCUGUAAUGCUGAAGCACUUACAAAAAAUAAUACAAAGUAAAUAAAUAAUUAAAAAAAGGAA